GUACAUUCGUUAUCUAGGCAUCGAAGCCUAUAGCGAGGCUCGAUGCGCACUCGUGCGAAACUCGUGUGUUUUUGAACACGCGCGACGAACGCAAGCGUUUAUUCGAUAAAAACGAUAUAUCGAAGCGGAGUCGAAUCCGCGCAUGGCUCUGUCACGUGUUUCAACAAACGAAAAUAAUCCGUCGACCAAACAAGAUCGGGCAAAAAUAUCGCGCAACAACAGCACGCGUAUUUAGUUCGAUGAGAACAUUUGCAGUCGCGUCUCUGUGGGAGAAAAAUCAACGGAAGCCGACGUUCGCGUUACUCAUCGCGAUAUUGACGCUAAUUACCGAUUCGUCGAACGUGGAAAUUUAUUCGCCGGGCAAAUUAAUUAGGGUGGACGCAGCUUUUAACGGCAUCUCGGAUCAUUUCUCUUGCAGAUGAAUUACCCAGAAUGCUUGGUUACGUUGGCACGCGACAGCUGAAGCGUAUCAAGAUGUUGAACGAGCCGCGUUAUCGGUGUGAAAAUAACGGCCACGAAUCUAACGAGUCGCGUCUGACCACCGGUUUUUAAACGGUGCAGAUUAGGAAAUUCGAUAAGAGCCGAUUACACGUCCCGAUCCAUGUUAAUAAUUGCACGCACGAAGGUAAUCGUUCAGACCCGAGACGAAUCAUCGACGCCAUGACACGUUUCCCUUUACAGAGUCAGAUAAGCAAACUCAUUCAGACUAUGGUCCCGUCUGACGAAUAUAUCGGUGAAUGAAUUAAUGAAUUCAGGAUGAACUGUUCAUUUUCUGGUUUACACGCGCGAAUGCUAAUACUUUGAACUUAUAUGGUGGUUACUUGAUGACGUUUCAAUUAGUUUUCUGACACAGAAAUAACCUUUUUCUCCAUACAGUAGAUAUUAUUUGUCGAUGUAAGUACUGUCAUUUUAUAUAUAAUGGACACCUGUAGGAAACUUUUUAUGGAUAUUACUGGCAAUAAUUAUUUGAACGUUCAAUUAUUUAUCGCAUUAAUAAGCUGCAAUGUUUUUAGUGGUUCUCAUCUUCAACACUAAUUAUAUGUUCAAGACUGCUAUUCCAGCUGUGUACUAACUUUUUUAUUUUAUUAUAGGUUUUCAGAAUGGUUUCACAUUUUAUCAAUGUAAUUAGCAAUACUCGUAUCUUAUCAGUAUGCUAACUGUUGAGGAUGAUUAUAGAAGAAUAAGUAGAUAAAUUUGUAAUAGAAAAAUAUAUUGAAUGUUACAAUACAAUGGAAUAACAGGGAGCAUGUUCAUAUAUUUAUAGCAAAAGGACAUUACAGAAAAAGUUCAGAUUUUUCAUGAAGCUUUGAACAAUCUGUGUUUAAGUAACAUUUUCUAUUUGACUAUACCCACAGAGUGCACUUAAAAUGUUUGGCUUUUUCAUUUAUUAUAAGACAUGCUAUUUAGAAUAUUAAUUUAAAUAAUGAUAUGUGGAUUUGUUAUUAUCCAUUUUGAUAAGUUAGAUAUUCCAUAAAGCUUUGAACAAUCUGUGUUUAUGUUUUCUAUUUGAUUAUACCCACAGGGUACACUUAGAAUGUUUAGCUUUUUCAUUUAUUUUAAGACAUGCUAUUUACACUUUAGAAUAUUAAUUUAAAUAAUGACAUGUGGGUUUGUUAUUAUCCAUUUUGAUAAGUUAGAUAUUUCAUAAAGCUUUGAACAAUCUGUGUUUAUGUUUUCUAUUUGAUUAUACCCACAGGGUACACUUAGAAUGUUUAGCUUUUUCAUUUAUUUUAAGACAUGCUAUUUACACUAUAAAAUAUUAAUUUAAAUAAUGAUGUGUUGGUUUGUUAUUGUCCAUUUUGAUAGGUUGGUCCUACUCUUAGGAUUUUUCAUAAGAUUGACUGAUAGAAGAACAAGUAGGUGAAUUUGUAAUAGAAAAAUAAAUUGAAAUAAGUAAAGGUAUAAGUACAAGUAAAUUGUAUAAGUUUAUGCUGAUCCAGAUCCCCACUCUCUUAGUAUUACAAUACAAUGGAAAAAUAGGGAGCAAGCCCAUAUAUUUACUGCAAAAGGACAUUACCAAAGAAGUUAACCUUGUACCUGUAGCUAAAGGUUACAAGGUACACAAAUAGAAAUCUAUUUAUAGCUCUUUUGUUUCCAUACCUUGUAACCCAAAACAUAAUUGAUGUUCAAGGUCACAAUGAUAUUAUAACCUCUCCUUAUUUGCAAUAUUUUUGUUUCACUAAAUUUUCAGGUCACAGAUGCACAUAAAUAAAGACGUACAGCUUUUCUUGAAGCAGUUACUUCAACACCAACGAAACCUAAGAAGAUUUUCCACAUUGUAAUGAUACAUAUUAUAUUCUUACAAUUUUUCAAGAGCUCAAAAUCAUUCUGUCAUUGUAAGUACUUGAGGCGUUACAAAUUAUAUACCGCACAAAUAGAACUCAAAAUAUUUGGCUUUACCUAAAAACGAAUUAUCCAGAAAUUUCACAGUCUCGUGUCAUUUUUUCCAUAAAUUACCGAUAGCUUCGUUACGGGCGUUCCAGAAAAUCGGGCGUCAACUCGAUAAUGGACGCUGCCGUCACAAUAACGUGUUGUGUUUCACAACAAGGGAGGCGUACUACGCUUGUGGUUUCCAUCGGCAACCGAAAUACAAAGACUGUGGAAUCAUCAAUCAAAUCGAAUCAAUGAGCCCUUUGUAGAGGCCGAUUUGGCUACUUAUUCAUUUAUCAUUAUUAGAGGCGCGGCGUUGCGUCCGCAGCCAAACCUCCCACCUUCUGUCUCGAACCAUUUACCUUCAUUCAUCACCGUGCUAACUCAUACAAAUUGUUUUAUUCACCUUAUCAGCCAUUACGAUUCGCGUCUGCCAGAUGAAUUUUGACGUGUUGCACCACCGGUUCUAGCACCAUCAUAAUUCAAAAACUAGAUCGUUACCUGUCAUCGAGUUAAACCGUAAACGAUUACCGAUUAGUGGAGCAAGUUUUUAAAAGAACAACACGUUAACGUUAGCAGAUAGCGGAAAUAAGACAAAUCCUUAUGACAUUAUCAUUUUUCUUUACUUCUGAAUUUAUGAAACUGUUCAGGUUUUCAGCGGUUCACGCUUAAAGAGACUGAAAACCACAGUUUUAUCUGUCAAGAUUUCACACCUCGGUUCUAACUUCAUACGAUCUUCACAACUUGAACAGCUGCGAUUAAUUCGUUCAUUCCUUUCUUUUCAUUUAACAGAAUAUCUUCCUUUUUGCGAUACAUGCAUCUGCUUAAACCGAACAACUAUGAGCUACAUUUACGUUAACUGUACUUUAUGCAGUUUCAUACUCUGCAUAUUACACUCUUCUCUCUUUUCCAUUCGAUUAAUUCGUCAUACCUAAACAGACAACGCUAUUUUCUGAAAAAUAGCGAUGGAUUGAACGACCUUGCUAUGGUUCCAAGCCCUCCAUUUCUUUCCCUCCUACGCGCGAGAAGUUAAUAAACGAAGCAGAAAGAGGAAAUGCAAAGAACGAGAUAUUUCGUCCGGAGAUUUGUAAAAUAUCCAGAAUGAGAAAGUGAUGGCGAAUUAAGUGAAUAUGUGUGGGCAAUGAGAGGAAUUAUCACGCUGAUUCCAGCGAACCAACAUGGCGUCGUUAAUUCUGGCUCCUCGUUGGUUUCCCCUGCCGCGCCGUCAGCACGUCGCCGAAGUUUUCAAGCCGAAUCGGCUGUGCUUGAUAAAAAUGUACAUAUUCAGCGAGCGGCGGGAAUUAUGCAUCGUCUAGCGCGCGCUUUCGCGUGUCUUGGCGAAUUAAGCCGGAGGCGUCGCUGGUAACGGCGCGAAAAUCAUCUGUCUACCGAGAAUACGUAAUUUUUCCAGCAACCUGGCACGCAAUUUUUUCGCUAGCCUCGCGCCCGCCGACCGAUCACAAGCUGAACGAUCCUCUUUUUCCGCACACGUUUCGACGCUCGACCGCCGUCAAUUGGACGUUUCCUCCUUCUCCCAACCACUCGCCUGAGAACCUUUCUCCUCCCAUUACGCAGCUGUCUAUUCUGUAGCUACGUUUUCCAGCCAUCUAUGUUUCUCAUUUCAACCCUGUCUGGCAGAAUUUUUCUUUCGGAAACGAAACACGACAGUAUGGGCCACGAUGCGCAUAAAUUGGGCAAAACGGGCGAGUCAGAUAUAAUUUUUUAAUUGCUAUACGUAGCUUCGUUUGCAGUGAACGGGCAGAGGAUUCGAUCCGUUGACUUGGCAACUAAGUGCUUGGCAACUAAGUGUCAUUAAGUGCUAAUGACAAAAUUCGCAAUCACUUAGUUUCCAACUAAUAGAAUUGCAGAGGCCGUGUUGUGGUCACCAAUGUAGAGGUUUGUUGGUUUGUCGUGUUUAAGUAACGAGAUAACUCGCUGUUGGAGCCCGUCAAGUAUAUUUAAAAUGAUAAAUAAAUAAACGCGAUCGUAAGGGGCUCGGUAUCUAUCAGUUAUCAGCGAUCUCAUUAACGAUUUACACACUGUGUUCAGCGAAUCCGUUGGUACGAGUGAUUAUUGUCUGUAUCAAUUUAUUUAUCGUUUUAAAUAUACUUGACGGUUUUCAACAGCGGUUAUUUAAACACAACAAACCAACCAUCCCCUACGGUGACCAAGAAACCUCUACAGGAUGAUCCAUAAGUUCAUCCAUCGUAAGGUAACAUAUUUAUGUUAUUAUUAUUCUUAUUAUUUAAUAGUAAGAUUCUAAGACAGAUUUAAGAAAAGCGUGUCUGCGUCAUAGUUCUUCUAGACACUUCAGUCUAUGGAUCAACCCAAUUGCUAUAAUCGCACAUUAUCAUCCAUAGCUUGCGUUUCAUAUUGUGCUGCGACAUGGUACAGCUAACUCCCGUUCGAGUAGCUAGAAAAGUCAUGAGAUGAGCAAUUUCUAGAUGUCACCAAUAUCAUCGGUCACAAUCUAUGGAAACUAAGUGACUGCGGAUUUCGCCAAUGCCGUCCAAUGACAAAAGCCGCAGUCACUUAGUUGCCAACC